GCCAGCAUGGCGUAACAGGUUGAGCAUUGGACUUUGACUCUGGAGACCAGGGUUCGAAUCCCGGCUUGGCC